rnacentral:lncRNA from 1 species
UUUACAUGGACUUGUUUAGCUUUGGUGACAACGGUUUUUAAAAUUUAUUUUCUGCAGAUUGAAUAUCCAGUUCAACUACUUAUCUGUUGCGUGCCGAUGAGAUGCAACCUUACUUAUUUCUGACUUACCAUAUCUGAAAUGAAGUCUAAAUAAAAAUAGAUUGUGAUUAGGAAAGUUCCCAGGAGACUGGACAACCAGAGCUGGCACUAGAGAAUUCUGCAUUGUUAUUGGCUGUACUUGCGUGUUCAAGGGUGACAAAAGUAUAAACCUAUCUUAUUCAAGACUGACCUUGUCCACUAGAGAAAUACCAUUUACAGCUUGGCUUCCAUUUGGAAGGGAGAGGAUCUUCACUGGAGCACGUUAGAGAGGGCUGGAGACUCCCAUUACUUAUUAGCAAUAGCUGCUGCUGACGUCGGGCAGCCAAACCUGGAGCCGGCCCUGGCCAAAGGGCUCCUGCCCCCACUCCCACACUCGGAAGAGGAAAUUUGCAUUUGGAAUGGCGGGUACCACUUGAAGGACAUU